rnacentral:rRNA from 1 species
ACGAACGCUGGGGGCAUGCCUAACACAUGCAAGUCGAACGAGACCUUCGGGUCUAGUGGCGCACGGGUGCGUAACGCGUGGGAAUCUACCCUUGGGUUCGGGAUAACAGUUGGAAACGACUGCUAAUACCGGAUGAUGACUUCGGUCCAAAGAUUUAUCGCCCAGGGAUGAGCCCGCGUAGGAUUAGCUUGUUGGUGAGGUAAGAGCUCACCAAGGCGACGAUCUUUAGCUGGUCUGAGAGGAUGAUCAGCCACACUGGGACUGAGACACGGCCCAGACUCCUACGGGAGGCAGCAGUGGGAAAUAUUGGACAAUGGGCGAAAGCCUGGUCCAGCAAUGCCGCGUGAGUGAUGAAGGCCUUAGGGUUGUAAAGCUCUUUCAGCGGGGAAGAUAAUGACUGUACCCGCAGAAGAAGCCCCGGCUAACUUCGU